rnacentral:rRNA from 1 species
UACGAAGGGGGCUAGCGUUGCUCGGAAUUACUGGGCGUAAAGCGCACGUAGGCGGCUUUCUAAGUCGGGGUGAAAUCCUGGAGCUCAACUCCAGAACUGCCUCGAUACUGGAGAGCUUGAGUCCGGGAGAGGUGAGUGGAACUGGCGAGUGUAGAGGUGAAAUUCGUAGAUAUUCGCAAGAACACCAGUGGCGAAGGCGGCUCACUGGCCCGGUACUGACGCUG